AACAGGGCUGAGUAGAGUUGACCCAGCUGCUUGUGUUCCAAAAGAGAGUUCAGCAGUGGAAUCCCAGGCAUCUUCAUACCGUCAGUGAAGCCAUCCGAACUUUGGCAUGCAGAAGUUCCACUUUCGUAACGAAGGGAAUUAUCUCAGGUCCCCAAUAAUCCUUCAAGGUUUCAAGCUGUCUACCUGGAGAAAAUGUUGAGCAUUAGAAAGAGCAAAAGCUUCGGAGUCGCCCAGCUGCAGAUCCAAAUCCCAGCUCCCAGCUCCACUGUUCCAUUCAUUCGCUCGCUGGGUAUUUGUUGAACAUCUGCUACAUAGGAGGCACUGUACUUUGUGUUGAGUACAUCAUUGAUUUGGAUGAAAAUCCUUGCUGUCACAGAGCUCACAUCCUAAUGGAACAUUUUAUUUGCUACUUGAC
rnacentral:lncRNA from 10 species